GACGAACGCUGGCGGCGUGCCUAAUACAUGCAAGUCGAGCGAGCGGAACCAACAGAUUUACUUCGGUAAUGACGUUGGGAAAGCGAGCGGCGGAUGGGUGAGUAACACGUGGGGAACCUGCCCCUAAGUCUGGGAUACCAUUUGGAAACAGCUGCUAAUACCGCAUAAUGCAACGGAAUCGCAUGACUCUGUUGCCAAAGAUUUAUCGCUCUGAGAUGGCCUCGCGUCCGAUUAGCUAGUUGGCGGGGUAACGGCCCACCAAGGCGACGAUCAGUAGCCGGACUGAGAGGUUGGCCGGCCACAUUGGGACUGAGACACGGCCCAG
rnacentral:rRNA from 1 species